GACGACGUUCGGUGCUACAGUUGGGCCCCGUAAGUUUGCUGGUCUGGGUUUGGGGAUGGCCAUUCGACGUCGAAGGGAUCUCCACGCGACGUAUUUACUGAAAAAAUAUCAAAUAGUGGAAAUUCCAUAUAUUUCUUUAUUUUAUUUAGAAUUAAAAUUAAAAUUCUCUUCUCUUCUUCGUCCGUCUCCCAUUCCCUUCUCUUUCUGCAAUCCGCAAACGGCCACUCGCAUCUAUAUAUACCAACUCGUGUCUUUUUCGGAGCCCGGUAGUCCUUCUCUCCCUCCCCUCUUUCCCAUUUAGGUAUUCUCGUCGGCCGCUCUCUAUCAAUUGGGUUGCGUUGUUGAUGGCCGCGACGAGCCAAGCGAGCCUGCUCCUUGCGAAGCAGCUGAAAGAUCUUACCAAGAAUCCUGUGGACGGGUUCUCGGCUGGCUUGGUUGAUGAUACCAAUGUUUUUGAGUGGAACGUGACUAUCAUCGGUCCCCCUGAUACGCUCUAUGACGGUGGCUAUUUUAAUGCAAUUAUGAGCUUUCCUGCCAACUAUCCCAAUAGCCCUCCAACAGUCAGAUUUACAUCAGAGAUGUGGCAUCCAAAUGUUUAUCCUGAUGGCCGUGUUUGCAUAUCAAUUCUUCAUCCACCUGGGGAGGACCCAAAUGGAUAUGAGCUUGCAAGUGAGCGUUGGACACCUGUGCAUACGGUUGAGAGCAUAGUACUGAGCAUUAUCUCUAUGCUUUCUAGUCCUAAUGAUGAAUCUCCAGCCAACAUUGAAGCUGCUUAUUCGCUGCUGCUACCAGAAACUGGGUUGUGCGAGUGAGACCAGCCAGUUGAUGUCCAACAUGUUCUAUAUACACUUUGCAAUCCACAAAGCCAAUGGACAUUUACAGAAGAGGGCAGUUGCUGAAGAUUUGAGAUAAUGUCUCAACAAAAAAGUACCUAGCUGAGUUAAAUUAUCUUAGUUUAUGUGUGAGUGUUAUUUCCCAAGGACAGUAAAGCCUUUUCUUUCUACUGGAGAACAGAACCUGUCAGAUAUUGUCUGUACUGUUGAAUGCUUAGGUGUCUCUUUUGUUCUUAACAGAUAUCUUUCCUUAAUGCCCUUUUGAGUAUUGGAGAACCCUUCUGAUGCUUCUACUUAUCGGUUGUCAUGCUAGAGUCAUAGGACAGUCCAAAUUUGAUGGCCAGAAAACUUUUGGUGGGAAUUUACUGUAAAUCAAGUAGAACUAAAUGAUAUCUUGGAGCAAUAGAGGCUGAAUGAUGAUCAAGGAGAACAAAAUCUCAAGCGAAGUCAAUGUACAGAAGCCUUGUUUUUGGUGCUGGAAGGCUACUGCUUCAUAGGUACCUUGGAUCUUUUGAAGGGCAAUUUCAAGAGGAAGGCUUGAGAAAGCAGAAAACUGUCAUGAACCUGUGCAUUGUGAUGAUUUUGGAUGUCGGUUUAAGGACUGAUUAUUUUGGCUGUGUGACUUUGAGCCUCGUUCAACUCACCCUGGCGUGGCUGGUUUUAAGGGAAAAGAAAAGAGUUUGGAUACUUUCAAGUUUGUGUUUGAACCAGGUUAUCUUAAUCGUGGAAAGAGGUGCAUCAUCUUGAACUUUUGGUUUAUCAAAGUGGGCAUCUUACUAAACUUGUGGUCCCUUCGGACAAAGAUUUUGGAGUCAAUGUAACAGGUCACUGGACCAAUAAGAUUUAACACGGGCAUGUUCUUUAAAGAGCUCCCUGCCACUGAUCAGUACACUAAUACUUGAACUAUGAUUUGAAAAGUAAGCGAUUCUGUUUGUGGACCUCCUCGGUGUCUGCUGUCUGAUGGCUGAACAACUCUCCUCUAUUCUUGAGCUUCUCCCAUUGACCAAUCCUCAGUCCAGUCUUCGCCCCGCUCCAAAGUCUAUAUUUACGGCAUAACAAUUAUAAAUUCAACUAUCUAUAUAAUUUUUUCAUGGUCGGCAAAGUCAUAUUUUAAUAA